rnacentral:rRNA from 1 species
GAUGAACGCUAGCGGCAGGCCUAACACACGCAAGUCGAGGGGUAGAGGAAGCUUGCUUCCUUGAGACCGGCGCACGGGUGCGUAACGCGUAUGCAAUCUGCCUUGUACUGAGGGAUAGCCCAGAGAAAUUUGGAUUAAUACCUCAUAGCAUUAUGAAAUCGCAUGGUUUUAUAAUUAAAGUUCCAACGGUACAAGAUGAGCAUGCGUCCCAUUAGUUAGUUGGUAAGGUAACGGCUUACCAAGACGAUGAUGGGUAGGGGUCCUGAGAGGGAGAUCCCCCGCACUGGUACUGAGACACGGACCAGACUCCAACGGGAGGCAGCAGUGAGGAAUAUUGGUCAAUGGACGCAAGUCUGAACCAGCCAUGCCGCGUGCAGGAUGAAGCAUCUAUGGUGUGUAAACUGCUUUUGUACGGGAAGAAACACUCCUACGUGUAGGAGCUUGACGGUACCGUAAGAAUAAGGAUCGGCUAACUCCGUGCCAGCCGCCGCCGUAACAC